rnacentral:rRNA from 1 species
GGGCGUAAAGAGCUCGUAGGCGGUUUGUCGCGUCUGCUGUGAAAAUUCGAGGCUCAACCUCGGACUUGCAGUGGGUACGGGCAGACUAGAGUGCAGUAGGGGAGAAGGGAAUUCCUGGUGUAGCGGUGGAAUGCGCAGAUAUCAGGAGGAACACCAAUGGCGAAGGCACUUCUCUGGGCUGUAACUGACGCUGAGGAGCGAAAGCGUGGGGAGCGAACAGGAUUAGAUACCCUGGUAGUCCACGCCGUAAACGUUGGGCGCUAGAUGUGGGUCACAUUCCACGUGAUCCGUGUCGCAGCUAACGCGUUAAGCGCCCCGCCUGGGGAGUACGGCCGCAAGGCUAAAACUCAAAGGAAUUGACGGGGGCCCGCACAAGCGGCGGAGCAUGCGGAUUAAUUCGAUGCAACGCGAAGAACCUUACCAAGGCUUGACAUAUAGUGGAAAACUGCAGAAAUGUAGUCCCCCGCAAGGGUCGCUAUACAGGUGGUGCAUGGUUGUCGUCAGCUCGUGUCGUGAGAUGUUGGGUUAAGUCCCGCAACGAGCGCAACCCUCGUCCUAUGUUGCCAGCACGUAAAGGUGGGAACUCAUGGGAGACUGCCGGGGUCAACUCGGAGGAAGGUAAU